rnacentral:sRNA from 1 species
AUGCCCCUGCCACCCCGGUUCUGCGCGCACUGUCCACGCCCAGCUGGCGUCUGCCCGCUACGGGUUGUUAGCG